GCCAUUGUUCUUGCCUUCAAGGUUUGGCAUGAUAAGGCUGUGUGGAACAUAUACUUCUGCCAGAUCCUCAAGAACCUUGCACUCCAAGACAUAAAUCAACUGGAAAGGCAUUACUUGUGUCUGCUUGAGUUUAAUGUUAAUGUGUCUGCCAGCAUUUAUGCCAAAUACUACUUUGAUCUUCGCUCUUUAGCAGAUCACAGCAACAUGUAUUUUGUGCCUGCACCUCUCACCAAAGAAAGAGCACAGAAACUAGAAGCGAUGUCAAGAUACUGUGAGGAUGGAGGCUUGCACAGAAGUGAAAUCAGAAAAGCUUCCAGUGAUGACAGCUUCACUGGAAUUCAACUGUCUAAAGCCAUCCUGUCUUAAAAGAGAGAGAUGAGGGCUAUGACAUCGUAGACCCUCGUUUACACAAGAUGGACCACCUGUCUUUGAAAAAAAAAAAUCCAAAGUGAACAUAUUUGCCAAAAGGAAAGACCUUGAAUUUCAGAAACUGUUGGACAGUUAUAGUUGUAUUGCAUGGGAAGAGACCUUGUGAAAGCAACAACACACUUCCUUUCUUCAUUGAUGUGAGCAGAGUUACUAGUACCACAAAGCAGAAGCUCCUGGCUGACACAACCAUUCGCUUACUUCACAGGCCAAUGCCUGUGAACUCU
rnacentral:lncRNA from 1 species